AUGAACGCUGGCGGCGUGCCUAAUCCCUGCAAGUCGCGCGAACGGACGAGAAGCUUGCUUCUCUGAUGUUAGCGGCGGACGGGUGAGUAACACGUGGAUAACCUACCUAUAAGACUGGGAUAACUUCGGGAAACCGGAGCUAAUACCGGAUAAUAUUUUGAACCGCAUGGUUCAAAAGUGAAAGACGGUCUUGCUGUCACUUAUAGAUGGAUUCGCGCUGCAUUAGCUAGUUGGUAAGGUAACGGCUUACCAAGGCAACGAUGCAUAGCCGACCUGAGAGGGUGAUCGGCCACACUGGAACUGAGACACGGUCCAGACUCCUACGGGAGGCAGCAGUAGGGAAUCUUCCGCAAUGGGCGAAAGCCUGACGGAGCAACGCCGCGUGAGUGAUGAAGGUCUUCGGAUCGUAAAACUCUGUUAUUAGGGAAGAACAUAUGUGUAAGUAACUGUGCACAUCUUGACGGUACCUAAUCAGAAAGCCACGGCUAACUACGUG
rnacentral:rRNA from 1 species